UGGAUUGUGUACUGCUAAACUGUCUGGGGGAUGGUUUGGCUUGAGAGCCGAAGAAGGACGUGCCAAGCUGCGAAAUGCUCUGGGGAGGCGCAUGGAGCCUUAGAUCCAGAGAUCUCCGAAUGGGACUUCCUGAUUCACUCCGUAAGGAGAGGGCACCCCGGGAAUCGAAACAUCCUAGUACCGGGAGGAAAAGAAAUCAAUCGAGAUACCGUGAGUAAAGGCGAUCGAAAGCGGUAGAGGGCAAACCGAAUCCUACCCGAAAGGGCAAGGAGAUGUGGAGUAUGGACUUUCCCCAACGCCUCUUUUAUCGAUUCGAAUAAGCUGGGAAGCUUAGCCAUAGAGGGUGAUAGCCCCGUAGAAGAAGAUAAAAAGGCCAUGAGGGGAAGUAUCCUGAGUACCAUGCGUCGUUAUUCGCGUGGGAAUACGGGUGGCAUGAACAUCCAACCCUAAAUACAUCUCAAGUCCGAUAGCGAACAAGUACCGUGAGGGAAAACUGAAAAGCAACCCGGAAGGGCUGUGAAAAGAGCCUGAAACCAGACAGUGAAAACUUUAUAGGGCACUAAAGGGGUGAACCGAAAGGUGACCGGUGUCCUAUAGUCCGUGUUGAAGAACGGGCCAGGGAGUUGCGACGGUUGGCAAGGCUAAUUCUUAAAGAAGGAGCCGUAGCGAAAGCGAUUACCCGCACAGCAAUGGAGGGGUAGCGUACCCAAGUGCGUUUAGUCAGCCGUGGCAGACCCGAAGCCGCUCGAUCUACGCCUGAGUAGGUUGAAGCUUAGCGAAAGCUAGGUGGAGGACCGAACCGGUUCUGAUGUGCAAAUCGUUCGGAUGACUUGGGUGUAGGGGUUAAAGGCUAAUCUAGAGCGGCAAUAGCGGGUUCCCCCCGAAACUACCCGCAGGUAGACCUCCAUGGAGAUUUCGGAUGAGGUAGAGCGACCGAUUGGCCGGUUAGUAGUCGAAAGACUGCGCCGGCCUAUCAAACUCCGAACUUGUCCGAAUCGUAGAUAUGGGGUGCUAGGGCAUAGGGAUAAGCUUUAUGCCCGUGAAGGGAACAACCUAGACCUGGAUUAAGGCCUCUAAAUACUGGCUAAGUGCGAUCUAAAAAGGUUUGCGGCCGAAGACAGUGGGGAGGUUGGCUUAGAAGCAGCCAUCCUUUAAAGAGUGCGUAACAGCUCACUCACCGAGGCUACAUGCCUUGAAGAUGGAAGAGGCUAAAGCCAGUUGCCGAGAUCCAGGACCACCGCAAGGUGAUGUGGUAGGGGGGCGUGCUGUAUGGGACGAAGCUUCUUCGAGAGGAGGAGUGGACCGUACAGUAUCGCGGAUCCUGGUAAAAGUAGCAGUCAAGAGUGGUGAGAAUCCACUCCGCCGAAAGGGCAAAGGUUCCUUGGCAAUGUUCGUCAGCCGAGGGUUAGCCGAUCCUAAGGCCAUUCCUAACAGGAAAUGGUCGAAAGGGAAGCUGGUUAAUAUUCCAGCGCCUGAGGUGUUCUGCCAUGCAUGUGAGCUUCGGGAUAGGAGGAGCACACCCGUCAGUGUGUUGGUGCAUAUAAGCAGAUGGAGAGUUGUAAUGACGUAAAGUCUGCGAAGAUGUAUCUGUCCCCUUAUGGGGAUUUCUCUAAUUCCUGGAGCCCAUGAAAAGCAUGCAUGGGUCAAGCCCCAGAUCGUACCAAGAACCGACACAGGUGCCCCUGGAUGAGAAGUCCAAGGCGUUUGGGAAUAAUGGACGCGAGGGAACUCGGCCAAAUAGCUCCGUAUCUUAGGUAGAAGGAGUGCCUAUCCAGAGAGAGGAUAGGUCGCAGUGGCAAGGGGACCCCGACUGUUUACCAAAAACACAGAUCACUGCUAGUCCGUAAGGAUGUGUAUAGUGGUCGAAACCUGCCCAGUGCUGGUACCUGAAAGCUCCGCUCAAGGAGAAGAAGGGCCAGUAAACGGCGGGGGUAACUAUGACCCUCUCAAGGUAGCGUAAUACCUAGCCGCUUAAUUGGCGGCUUGCAUGAAGGUUCAACGAGAGUCCCACUGUCCCCGCGUUCAGCCCCGUGAAAUUAAUGUACUGGUGCACAAUCCAGUCUCUCCCACGUGAAAGCGAAGUCCCCGUGGAGCUUUACUGCAGCCUGUAGCUGUGACGCGAUUCUCAAUGCGUAGGGUAGGAAGGAGCCAUCGAAGUUCCGGUUGUGGCCGGAAUGGAGGCGACGAUGAAACACUUCCCUUUGGGAGUUGCGUCACUAACCUUGCAAAAGGGACAACUAUUGGUGGGCAGUUUGGGUGGGGCGCCACGCCUCUAACAAUCCAACAGAGGCCUCCAAAGGUCAGCUCAGGAGGGUCAGAAAUCCUCCGUAGAGUAUAAAGGCAAAAGCUGGCUUGACAGUGUUCCAGACAAUAAGGAACGCUGAUGCGAAAGCAGGGCUUAGCGAACCACCUUGUCUCCCUCUUCAUGAGGGCAGGUGAUAAGAGAGAAGUUACCCCAGGGAUAACUGAGUUGUCCUCGGCAAGAGUACACAUCGACCCGAGGGUUUGCUACUUCGAUGUCGUCUGUUCCUAUCCUGGCGCUGCAUAAGACGCCAAGGGUGGGGCUGUUCGCCCAUUAAAAGGGAUCCUGAGAUGGGUUCACUACGUCGCGAGACAGUAGGGUUGCUUCUCCGUGGGAGUGCUCGAUGCCUGAAGGGAAGGAGCCUUUAGUACGAGAGGAACGGGGGUUCGUGGCCUCUGGUUUACCGGUUGUCCGACAGGGCAGUUGCCGGGUAGCUACGCCAUACGCGAAUAAAGGCUGAAAGCAUCUAAGCCUGAAGUCGCCCCUGAAAAGAGGCAUCGUUAUCAGGUCCCUCCUAAAAGAGGAGCUUGAUAGGACCGGGAUGUAAGUGCUGAGCUUUUGCGAGGCAUUAAGUCCACGGUUACUAAAAGACCGAAUGCACAAUCCA
rfam:Picrophilus torridus DSM 9790, complete genome.